UCUAGCUCAGUUGGUUAGAGCAUGGUGCUGAUAACACCAAGGCUGCGGGUUCAAUCCUUGUAAAG